rnacentral:rRNA from 1 species
UACGAAGGGAGCUAGCGUUGUUCGGAAUUACUGGGCGUAAAGGGCGCGUAGGCGGACAUCUAAGUCAGGGGUGAAAUCCCAGGGCUCAACCCUGGAAUUGCCUUUGAUACUGGACGUCUAGAGUCCGGGAGAGGAGAGUGGAAUUCCUGGUGUAGCGGUGAAAUGCGCAGAUAUCAGGAAGAACACCCGUGGCGAAAGCGGCUCUCUGGAACGGUACUGACGCUGAGACGCGAAAGCGUGGGGAGCGAACAGG